UAGUGGCGGACGGGUGAGUAACACGUAGGUAACCAACCCUCAAGCGGGGGACAACCCAGGGAAACUUGGGCUAAUACCGCAUAAGACCACGGACUGGGAGGUUUGUGGUAAAAGGAGCAAUUCACUUGAGGAUGGGCCUGCGGCCUAUCAGGUAGUUGGUAAGGUAAUGGCCUACCAAGCCUAAGACGGGUAGCCGGACUGAGAGGUUGAACGGCCACACUGGAACUGAGAUACGGUCCAGACUCCUACGGGAGGCAGCAGUGGGGAAUUUUGCGCAAUGGGGGAAACCCUGACGCAGCGACGCCGCGUGGAGGAUGAAGGUUUUCGGAUUGUAAACUCCUUUUGUAGGGGAAGAUAAUGACGGUACCCUAUGAAUAAGCCACGGCUAACUCUGUGCCAGCAGCCGCGGUAAGACAGAGGUGGCAAGCGUUGUUCGGAAUUACUGGGCUUAAAGGGCGCGUAGGUGGUGGCAUAAGUCCGAGGUGGAAGACUAAGGCUUAACCUUAGAAUUGCCUUGGAAACUGUAUCACUUGAGUCAGCGAGGGGAUGGCGGAAUUCCAGGUGUAGCGGUGAAAUGCGUAGAUAUCUGGAGGAAGGCCGGUGGCGAAGGCGGCCAUCUGGCGCUGAACUGACACUGAGGCGCGAAAGCGUGGGGAGCAAACAGGAUUAGCUACCC
rnacentral:rRNA from 1 species